rnacentral:rRNA from 1 species
ACUCCUACGGGAGGCAGCAGUGGGGAAUAUUGCACAAUGGGCGCAAGCCUGAUGCAGCAACGCCGUGUGAGUGAAGAAGGUUUUCGGAUCGUAAAACUCUGUCCUAAGGGAAGAAACAAAUGACGGUACCUUAGGAGGAAGCCCCGGCUAACUACGUGCCAGCAGCCGCGGUAAUACGUAGGGGGCGAAGCGUUAUCCGGAAUCACUGGGCGUAAAGGGUGCGUAGGCGGCUUAGCAAGCCAGGGGUGAAAGGCAUUGGCUCAACCAAUGUAAGCCUUUGGAACUGUUAAGCUUGAGUGCAGGAGAGGUAAGUGGAAUUCCUAGUGUAGAGGUGAAAUUCGUAGAUAUUAGGAGGAACACCAGUGGCGAAGGCGACUUACUGGACUGUAACUGACGCUGAUGCACGAAAGCGUGGGUAGCGAACAGGAUUAGAUACCCUGGUAGCACAGAG